UACAGAGGGUGCGAGCGUUAAUCGGAAUUACUGGGCGUAAAGCGCGCGUAGGCGGCUUUGCAAGUCGGGUGUGAAAUCCCCAGGCUUAACCUGGGAACUGCAUUCGAGACUGCAUUGCUAGAGUAUGGGAGAGGGAAGUGGAAUUUCCGGUGUAGCGGUGAAAUGCGUAGAUAUCUGGAGGAAUACCGGUGGCGAAGGCGGCAUCCUGGACCGACAUUGACGCUGAAAGCCGAAAGCUAGGGGAGCAAACGGG
rnacentral:rRNA from 1 species